rnacentral:rRNA from 2 species
UCCGGUGAAGUGUUCGGAUUGCGGCGACGUGGGCGGUUCGCUGCCCGCGACGUUGUGAGAAGUCCACUGAACCUUAUCAUUUAGAGGAAGGAGAAGUCGUAACAAGGUUUCCGUAGGUGAACCUGCGGAAGGAUCAUUG